AGUGAACGCUGGCGGUAGGCCUAACACAUGCAAGUCGAACGGCAGCACAGUAAGAGCUUGCUCUUAUGGGUGGCGAGUGGCGGACGGGUGAGGAAUACAUCGGAAUCUACUUUUUCGUGGGGGAUAACGUAGGGAAGCUUACGCUAAUACCGCAUACGACCUACGGGUGAAAGCAGGGGAUCUUCGGACCUUGCGCGAUUGAAUGAGCCGAUGUCGGAUUAGCUAGUUGGCGGGGUAAAGGCCCACCAAGGCGACGAUCCGUAGCUGGUCUGAGAGGAUGAUCAGCCACACUGGAACUGAGACACGGUCCAGACUCCUACGGGAGGCAGCAGUGGGGAAUAUUGGACAAUGGGCGAAAGCCUGAUCCAGCCAUACCGCGUGGGUGAAGAAGGCCUUCGGGUUGUAAAGCCCUUUUGUUGGGAAAGAAAAGCAGCAGGUUAAUACCCCGCUGUUCUGACGGUACCCAAAGAAUAAGCACCGGCUAACUUCGUG
rnacentral:rRNA from 1 species